GUUUCCACAGUACUUUCAGUUUCUCUUCGUUUUGUUUUUCUUUUAUUUUUCUUGCUCCUCUUUCUACACACUGAAGUUGCUGUUGUUUUACAUUUACCUUUUAUUUAUUUGUAGUUUUUGAGGCAGGUUGGAGUGUAAGAAUGCAAUCUCGGCUUACAGCCGCCUCGACUUUCCAGGACUCCCUCAGGUGAUCUUCCUAUCUCAGCCUUCCAAGUGGCUGAGACUACAGGAAUCACUUAAUUCUGUGAUGUCGAAGCUGAAGUGAGCCGUGAUGAUGCCUUGCCCUCCAGUCUGAGUGUUUCAGAAGGUGGAGUUUCGCUCUUAUUGCCCAGGCUGGAGUUCAGUGGCGUGACCUCAGCUCACCGCAACCUCUGCCGCCUGUGUUCAAGAGAUUUUCCAGUCUUCACCCUUUCGAGUAGCUGAAACCACAGGCAAACACCUCCAGGCGUCAUCUCACGUGUCGAGGUGAUCUCGAACUUUUAGGCUCCAGAGAUCCUCCCGCAUCGGCCUCCCGGAGUGCUGUGAUGACACGCGUGGGCACGACGGAGUUUCACUCUUGUCGCCCAGGGUGGAGUACGAUGGCGGCUCUCGGCUCACCGCACCCUCCGCCUCCCAGGUUCAAGUGAUUCUCCUGCCUCAGCCUUCCCGAGUAGCUGGAAUGACAGAGAUGAGCCAUCGUGCCCGGCUAAUUUUUCUAUUUUUACUACAGAUGGGGUUUCUCCAUCUUGGUCAGGCUGGUCUUCAACUUCCGACCGUUGGAGAAUCUUAACUUUCUUGGUGGUGGUUGUUUUCCUUUUUCUUUUUUUUCUUUUCUUUUCUUUCCUUCUCCUCCCCCCCCAC
ensembl:lncRNA novel transcript